rnacentral:rRNA from 1 species
AUUGAACGCUGGCGGCAGGCCUAACACAUGCAAGUCGAACGAGUGGCGGACGGGUGAGUAAUGUCUGGGAAACUGCCUGAUGGCGGGGGAUAACUACUGGAAACGGUAGCUAAUACCGCAUACAAUCGGAUGUGCCCAGAUGGGAUUAGCUAGUAGGUGGGGUAAAGGCUUACCUAGGCGACGAUCCCUAGCUGGUGUGAGAGGAUGACCAGCCACACUGGACCGGCUACACGGUCCAGACUCCUACGUGAGGCAGCAGUGGGGAAUAUUGCACAAUGUUCGCAAUGCUGAGGCAUCCAUGCCGCGUGUAUGAAGAAGGCCUUCGGGUUGUAAAGUACGUGCAGCGGGGAGGCGUUAACCUCAGAAGAAGCACCGGCUAACUCCGUGCCAGCAGCCGCGGUAAUUC